rnacentral:rRNA from 1 species
AUUGAACGCUGGCGGCAGGCCUAACACAUGCAAGUCGAGCGGAUGAAGGGAGCUUGCUCCUGGAUUCAGCGGCGGACGGGUGAGUAAUGCCUAGGAAUCUGCCUGGUAGUGGGGGAUAACGUCCGGAAACGGGCGCUAAUACCGCAUACGUCCUGAGGGAGAAAGUGGGGGAUCUUCGGACCUCACGCUAUCAGAUGAGCCUAGGUCGGAUUAGCUAGUUGGUGGGGUAAAGGCCUACCAAGGCGAAGAUCCGUAACUGGUCUGAGAGGAUGAUCAGUCACACUGGAACUGAGACACGGUCCAGACUCCUACGGGAGGCAGCAGUGGGGAAUAUUGGACAAUGGGCGAAAGCCUGAUCCAGCCAUGCCGUGUGUGUGAAGAAGGUCUUCGGAUUGUAAAGCACUUUAAGUUGGGAGGAAGGGCAGUAAGUUAAUACCUUGCUGUUUUGACGUUACCAACAGAAUAAGCACCGGCUAACUUCGUG